rnacentral:tRNA from 1 species
GGAUCACUGGUGUAAUGAUUAGCACUCUGGACUUUGAAUCCAGCUAUCCUAGUUUAAAUCUUGGUGGAACCC